rnacentral:lncRNA from 1 species
UGUUCCCUGGCCAGCCUGUUGGCCACAGAAAAUCAUCUGAUAUGUAAUAAGUAUUUUGCAUUGAGCUGGAUUUACUGCAUCACUGUUGUUUCUAUGAAUGGCUUUGAUGCCAGGGUCAAGUGGAUUUGAUCACUGAUUGUGACUGCUUACACUUUUAACACCAGGAAUUUGGCUCAGGCUGACGUAAAUUAUUGGUGUGUGCCAAAAAUGCAUGACUUUUCAUGAUGACAUUUUACAAAAUUACCUUCAUCCUACAAACUGGUAUUUCUUUGCAAUUUAUCAGACGUGGGACAUUCAACAGGAGCGCGACGCUGGGCUUCACCGUGCAAUAACAUAACUGGAAUUUAAUCUCUGCAAAUGGGAUUUCUUUUAAAACUAAAACCUGGUUUUGAAGGACAAAAAAAGUGAAAAAUGAACAAAACUUUUAAUGUCAGUUUCAGAAAUAAGGCCAAAGAGGUCUCUGAUUCAUAUUCAUGGAAGUAGAGUCAACAUGUGAUGCUAAUUUUAUGGGGUUUCCAAAAAAAGAAUGCCCUUUCCAUAUAUAAUUUACUGUUUCUGUGAUUCAUCAAAGCUUUUUGUCCUCCAGCACAUGAGUGGUCACCUCUGAUUUAUGCACCAGAGGACUCAGUAGGUCCAAACCAGAGUGGAGCAGAGCAGCUUUGCUCCGAGUCGCACCUACCAACUCCUUGCGAGCUGUGUUGGAUGGUAUUCUUGCUUUGUCAGAACGAACAUCCCUCCUUCCAGCAGUUGGCCAAGCCAUUGAGUUCCCUCCCCAUAAGCUCUCUGUGGGGACCAGUAGGAGCACCUGGGGAUGUGUGCAUUCUCGUUCAUCUUGGUGGGAUGCUCCCUGUGAAAUCACAGCCUUGCUGGCAUCCACACGGCCGUGUUUAACUGCUUCACUGCUCACUGGCACGCCGCAUCCAUUCGGGGGGAAAAAGCCGUAAUAUGAUUGAAUAUAUCUGGCAGGACCUGAUAUUCCCACUCAUUUUGACUCCAAUCCAGCAGCAGCAAAGGCAAUUAAAUAACAAGUUUUCUCCGGCAAAAUGAGUUGCAAAAUGCCCCCAGCUGCAUGCUGCAGGAAAUACACCACCUCAGCUUUGCUGAUUGCCAGCACGCCUGCACCUGCCCCUGGCUGAGGAGGUCCCAUGCAGCAAGGCUGCUCCCCAGUUGGGCUGUGUGAGGUGGCACAAGCAGCAGGUGUGCAUUGCUGGCAGCACGUGGCCAUCACUGCCUCACUGCAGCAUGGCACACUCCCAGUGCUUCACAGUCUGCCACAUCAGAGCCCGGGCUCAGCCCCUCAUUGCGAAUGCAGACCUGGAUCCUGUAAAUGAGUUGGUUAAAUGAGAUGGCCAAAUGUUGCUUGAAAACAAAAUUCCAGGAGAUCAGCCUGUGUGAAAAUGGACCCUGAGACAUAACUGCUGACCCCAAAAUGCCACAGGCAUAACCCUAACCCUAACCACGCAGCCACCAAAGGGCAACACCACAUUAAAGAUGGAGCUAAGAGCAAAGGAAGCAGUGUUGGAUGAGAUGCUGUAGGCUGCACUAUGUGCAUGUGUACACCGGGAAGAAGGAUGCUGAUGGGUGGCUUUUCCAUCACCUGGUAUUGGUAAGUAUUACUGACAGAAGGAUCCAGAAAGUCUCAGGAAAAGGUUUUGUCUGAAAUCGCUGUCCUGCAUUGCUUUUUCCUACAGCAGCUUUGGGAGAGCCCAGGCUCCUCCCCAGGGGCUGCACCCAUCACUUUUUUUUUGAAUAUGCAUGUCUUCUGGCUGUUCAGUCUGCUG